rnacentral:rRNA from 1 species
UACGUAGGGGGCAAGCGUUGUCCGGAAUUAUUGGGCGUAAAGAGCGUGUAGGCGGUCCGGUAAGUCGGCUGUGAAAGUCCAGGGCUCAACCCUGGGAUGCCGGUCGAUACUGUCGGGCUAGAAUCCGGAAGAGGCGAGUGGAAUUCCUGGUGUAGCGGUGAAAUGCGCAGAUAUCAGGAGGAACACCAAUUGCGAAGGCAGCUCGCUGGGACGUGACUGACGCUGAGACGCGAAAGCGUGGGGAGCAAACAGG